rnacentral:rRNA from 1 species
CAGCCGCCGCGGUAAUACGUAGGGUGCGAGCGUUACUCGGAUUUACUGGGCGUAAAGCGUGCGCAGGCGGCCCGUUAAGACAGGUGUGAAAUCCCUGGGCUCAACCUAGGAAUUGCGCUUGUGACUGGCGGGCUCGAGUACGGUAGAGGGGGGUGGAAUUCCUGGUGUAGCAGUGAAAUGCGUAGAGAUCAGGAGGAACACCGAUGGCGAAGGCAGCCCCCUGGGCCUGUACUGACGCUCAUGCACGAAAGCGUGGGGAGCAAACAGGAUUAGAUACCCUGGUAGUCCACGCCCUAAACGAUGGGUACUAGCCGUUUGGUGCGCGAUAGCGCUGAGUGGCGAAGCUAACGCGUGAAGUACCCCGCCUGGGGAGUACGGCCGCAAGGUUGAAACUUAAAGUAAUUGGCGGG